GACGAACGCUGGCGGCGUGCUUAACACAUGCAAGUCGAACGAGAAUCUGUGGAAAGAGGAUUCGUCCAAUUGAAGCAGAGGACAGUGGCGGACGGGUGAGUAACGCGUGAGGAACCUGCCUUUCAGAGGGGGACAACAGUUGGAAACGACUGCUAAUACCGCAUAACAUAUAGAUGUCGCAUGGCAUUUAUAUCAAAGAUUUAUCGCUGAAGGAUGGCCUCGCGUCUGAUUAGCUAGUUGGUGAGGUAACGGCCCACCAAGGCGACGAUCAGUAGCCGGACUGAGAGGUUGAACGGCCACAUUGGGACUGAGAUACGGCCCAGACUCCUACGGGAGGCAGCAGUGGGGAAUAUUGGGCAAUGGGCGCAAGCCUGACCCAGCAACGCCGCGUGAAGGAAGAAGGCUUUCGGGUUGUAAACUUCUUUGACAGGGGAAGAGCAGAAGACGGUACCCUGAAAACAAGCCACGGCUAACUACGUGCCAGCAGCC
rnacentral:rRNA from 1 species